AGCAUCUCUGAGCGAGGGGUCAUCAUUGGGCAGGCCUUCUGAGAUGCAGCAGGGUUUGGAAGAAGACAGGGGAGGGGGACUUGGGUGGAACCUCCACCAUAACUUUGCAGAUUAUUUGGGUGUAAGGAUGCCAGAGGCCGGGGUGAUGGCGGAGAGGCUUAUCGGGGUGCAGAAACUUUUCAAGGCCAAGUGCGUCUUCCUGGGUCUUCACACUGGAAACAUACUCAUCCUCACGUUGUGUGACAGACUUGUCCUGAUCUAGCCCUGAGCUUGUUGAGCCAGUCCCUCAGUAAGAGACUGCUGGUGGGGGAUUGAAGAAGCAGCCUCGCAUCUUGGAAUUUUACCGCCUCUAGCCAUGGCCCCUCCCCGUCUGCCUACAAGGAGCCAUCUCCCUAAUUCCUGGUCUCACACUGAAUCCCCCUUCCAGCAGGAGCAGGAGGAGAUUUCCGAAAUCCAAACCAAACUUCAGGUGCGCAGCGACAAAAAGGACGCAGGGGAACUUCCCGGGUUCACUUCUGACCAAUAAAAUCAUUCUUUACAGGGUGCUGUACUGAGUCCAUCGUUUUCCUUUCGCAGGAUGAGGACUUGAGUUUCGUCUCUCAGGAAAAACUCCUAGGCGAGAGAAACUAAGGCCAGCAAAGGCCGCUGCCGGUGAAGGCUCUGGCACCAGCAACAAAGAAGAGGCCAGGUUUGCACAGCUGUUGCCUUAAGAACUGAAUAACAAAAGACUGAGACUUCAACCCAGACUUGGAGGGGAGGAGAGAGAAAAAUCACUAAAAUCCAGGAAGUAAAGACAGUGUCAGAAGUCUUCACAGAGUCAGGGGGAAAAAAGGGUUUCCAAAAGGCCGACGUCUGUGUUUCUGAGGGGAAUCAGGGCUCUGGAAGUGCCCGCCCAAACAGCUGCUGGAGGGAGGGAGAAACUAGAGGUCUGGACUGGGGGCGGGGGUGAAGGGUCCGUUUCUUCAGAGCUCAGAGACUGGAGAGCUCUUGGUUCUUGCUUUGAAUGCCUGGGGUCAAGCGAAGGAUAACUUAAAGAGCUUGCCCGCUGCUCUCCCUGACUUCUGGAGUUCACAGUACAAUGAAUCUUCCUAGUAGGAGAAGACUGGGCUCUGAGAAGGCAGAAGAGAGAUAUCCAUCCUUGCUUUGCAAAUGUUUCUCCGGGUUUAAAAAUAAAAAUCAGUAAUGACAA